GAGUUUGAUCGUGGCUCAGGAUGAACGCUGGCGGCGUGCCUAAUACAUGCAAGUCGAGCGAACGGACGAGAAGCUUGCUUCUCUGAUGUUAGCGGCGGACGGGUGAGUAACACGUGGAUAACCUACCUAUAAGACUGGGAUAACUUCGGGAAACCGGAGCUAAUACCGGAUAAUAUUUUGAACCGCAUGGUUCAAAAGUGAAAGACGGUCUUGCUGUCACUUAUAGAUGGAUCCGCGCUGCAUUAGCUAGUUGGUAAGGUAACGGCUUACCAAGGCAACGAUGCAUAGCCGACCUGAGAGGGUAAUCGGCCACACUGGAACUGAGACACGGUCCAGACUCCUACGGGAGGCAGCAGUAGGGAAUCUUCCGCAAUGGGCGAAAGCCUGACGGAGCAACGCCGCGUGAGUGAUGAAGGUCUUCGGAUCGUAAAACUCUGUUAUUAGGGAAGAACAUAUGUGUAAGUAACUGUGCACAUCUUGACGGUACCUAAUCAGAAAGCCACGGCUAACUACGUG
rnacentral:rRNA from 1 species